rnacentral:tRNA from 1 species
GCCUGGGUGGCGGAAUGGUUUACGCGAAGGUCUCAAAAACCUUUGAGCGCAAGCUCGUGUGGGUUCGACUCCCACCCCAGGCA